rnacentral:rRNA from 1 species
AUUGAACGCUGGCAGCAGGCCUAACACAUGCAAGUCGAGCGGAUGAAGGGAGCUUGCUCCUGGAUUCAGCGGCGGACGGGUGAGUAAUGCCUAGGAAUCUGCCUGGUAGUGGGGGAUAACGUCCGGAAACGGGCGCUAAUACCGCAUACGUCCUGAGGGAGAAAGUGGGGGAUCUUCGGACCUCACGCUAUCAGAUGAGCCUAGGUCGGAUUAGCUAGUUGGUGGGGUAAAGGCCUACCAAGGCGACGAUCCGUAACUGGUCUGAGAGGAUGAUCAGUCACACUGGAACUGAGACACGGUCCAGACUCCUACGGGAGGCAGCAGUGGGGAAUAUUGGACAAUGGGCGAAAGCCCGAUCCAGCCAUGCCGCGUGUGUGAAGAAGGUCUUCGGAUUGUAAAGCACUUUAAGUUGGGAGGAAGGGCAGUAAGUUAAUACCUUGCUGUUUUGACGUUACCAACAGAAUAAGCACCGGCUAACUUCGUG